AGAGUUUGAUCAUGGCUCAGGAUGAACGCUGGCGGCGUGCUUAACACAUGCAAGUCGAACGAACCUUCGGGUUAGUGGCGGACGGGUGAGUAACGCGUGAGAAUCUGCCCUCAGGAGGGGGAUAACGGCUGGAAACGGCCGCUAAUACCCCAUAUGCCGCGAGGUGAAAUGAAUUUCGCCUGAGGAUGAGCUCGCGUCUGAUUAGCUAGUUGGUGGGGUAAAGGCCUACCAAGGCAUCGAUCAGUAGCUGGUCUGAGAGGAUGAUCAGCCACACUGGGACUGAGACACGGCCCAGACUCCUACGGGAGGCAGCAGUGGGGAAUUUUCCGCAAUGGGCGAAAGCCUGACGGAGCAACGCCGCGUGAGGGAUGAAGGCCUCUGGGCUGUAAACCUCUUUUAUCAAGGAAGAAGAUCUGACGGUACUUGAUGAAUAAGCCACGGCUAAUUCCGUGCCAGCAGCCGCGGUAAUACGGGAGUGGCAAGCGUUAUCCGGAAUUAUUGGGCGUAAAGCGUCCGCAGGCGGCCCUUCAAGUCUGCUGUUAAAACGUGGAGCUUAACUCCAUCAUGGCAGUGGAAACUGUUGGGCUUGAGUGUGGUAGGGGCAGAGGGAAUUCCCGGUGUAGCGGUGAAAUGCGUAGAUAUCGGGAAGAACACCAGUGGCGAAGGCGCUCUGCUGGGCCAUCACUGACGCUCAUGGACGAAAGCCAGGGGAGCGAAAGGGAUUAGAUACCCCUGUAGUCCUGGCCGUAAACGAUGAACACUAGGUGUCGGGGGAAUCGACCCCCUCGGUGUCGUAGCCAACGCGUUAAGUGUUCCGCCUGGGGAGUACGCACGCAAGUGUGAAACUCAAAGGAAUUGACGGGGGCCCGCACAAGCGGUGGAGUAUGUGGUUUAAUUCGAUGCAACGCGAAGAACCUUACCAGGGUUUGACAUCCUGCGAAUCUCUUGGAAACGAGAGAGUGCCUUCGGGAGCGCAGUGACAGGUGGUGCAUGGCUGUCGUCAGCUCGUGUCGUGAGAUGUUGGGUUAAGUCCCGCAACGAGCGCAACCCACGUCUUUAGUUGCCAGCAUUCAGUUGGGCACUCUAGAGAGACCGCCGGUGAUAAACCGGAGGAAGGUGUGGAUGACGUCAAGUCAUCAUGCCCCUUACAUCCUGGGCUACACACGUACUACAAUGCUACGGACAAAGGGCAGCAAGUUCGCGAGGACAAGCAAAUCCCAUAAACCGUGGCUCAGUUCAGAUCGUAGGCUGCAACUCGCCUACGUGAAGGAGGAAUCGCUAGUAAUCGCAGGUCAGCAUACUGCGGUGAAUACGUUCCCGGGCCUUGUACACACCGCCCGUCACACCAUGGAAGUUGGCCACGCCCGAAGCCGUUACUCCAACCCUUGUGGAGGAGGACGUCGAAGGUGGGGCUGAUGACUGGGGUGAAGUCGUAACAAGGUAGCCGUA
rnacentral:rRNA from 1 species